ACGGGAGACACACGGCGGGUGCUAACGUCCGUCGUGAAGAGGGAAACAACCCAGACCGCCAGCUAAGGUCCCAAAGUCAUGGUUAAGUGGGAAACGAUGUGGGAAGGCCCAGACAGCCAGGAUGUUGGCUUAGAAGCAGCCAUCAUUUAAAGAAAGCGUAAUAGCUCACUGGUCGAGUCGGCCUGCGCGGAAGAUGUAACGGGGCUAAACCAUGCACCGAAGCUGCGGCAGCGACGCUGAUGCGUUGUUGGGUAGGGGAGCGUUCUGUAAGCCUGCGAAGGUGUGCUGUGAGGCAUGCUGGAGGUAUCAGAAGUGCGAAUGCUGACAUAAGUAACGAUAAAGCGGGUGAAAAGCCCGCUCGCCGGAAGACCAAGGGUUCCUGUCCAACGUUAAUCGGGGCAGGGUGAGUCGACCCCUAAGGCGAGGCCGAAAGGCGUAGUCGAUGGGAAACAGGUUAAUAUUCCUGUACUUGGUGUUACUGCGAAGGGGGGACGGAGAAGGCUAUGUUGGCCGGGCGACGGUUGUCCCGGUUUAAGCGUGUAGGCUGGUUUUCCAGGCAAAUCCGGAAAAUCAAGGCUGAGGCGUGAUGACGAGGCACUACGGUGCUGAAGCAACAAAUGCCCUGCUUCCAGGAAAAGCCUCUAAGCAUCAGGUAACAUCAAAUCGUACCCCAAACCGACACAGGUGGUCAGGUAGAGAAUACCAAGGCGCUUGAGAGAACUCGGGUGAAGGAACUAGGCAAAAUGGUGCCGUAACUUCGGGAGAAGGCACGCUGAUAUGUAGGUGAAGUCCCUCGCGGAUGGAGCUGAAAUCAGUCGAAGAUACCAGCUGGCUGCAACUGUUUAUUAAAAACACAGCACUGUGCAAACACGAAAGUGGACGUAUACGGUGUGACGCCUGCCCGGUGCCGGAAGGUUAAUUGAUGGGGUUAGCGCAAGCGAAGCUCUUGAUCGAAGCCCCGGUAAACGGCGGCCGUAACUAUAACGGUCCUAAGGUAGCGAAAUUCCUUGUCGGGUAAGUUCCGACCUGCACGAAUGGCGUAAUGAUGGCCAGGCUGUCUCCACCCGAGACUCAGUGAAAUUGAACUCGCUGUGAAGAUGCAGUGUACCCGCGGCAAGACGGAAAGACCCCGUGAACCUUUACUAUAGCUUGACACUGAACAUUGAGCCUUGAUGUGUAGGAUAGGUGGGAGGCUUUGAAGUGUGGACGCCAGUCUGCAUGGAGCCGACCUUGAAAUACCACCCUUUAAUGUUUGAUGUUCUAACGUGGACCCGUAAUCCGGGUUGCGGACAGUGUCUGGUGGGUAGUUUGACUGGGGCGGUCUCCUCCUAAAGAGUAACGGAGGAGCACGAAGGUUGGCUAAUCCUGGUCGGACAUCAGGAGGUUAGUGCAAUGGCAUAAGCCAGCUUGACUGCGAGCGUGACGGCGCGAGCAGGUGCGAAAGCAGGUCAUAGUGAUCCGGUGGUUCUGAAUGGAAGGGCCAUCGCUCAACGGAUAAAAGGUACUCCGGGGAUAACAGGCUGAUACCGCCCAAGAGUUCAUAUCGACGGCGGUGUUUGGCACCUCGAUGUCGGCUCAUCACAUCCUGGGGCUGAAGUAGGUCCCAAGGGUAUGGCUGUUCGCCAUUUAAAGUGGUACGCGAGCUGGGUUUAGAACGUCGUGAGACAGUUCGGUCCCUA
rnacentral:rRNA from 1 species